GAAGGGCCGUUUGGAAAAAAGGCCACACAACUUGUAAGCCAGGGAGUCACAAACCAAUGACCCACUGGCCUAAUCUGGCUCACAGACAUGUGCUUUUCUAGUCAUCAUUAUAUUUAACCAUUUUUCUGUUUAGAAAAAAAAAGUGCAGCUCAUGUAGGAAUGCUUCGUUUUCUAAUUUGACAUUUUCUGCGCUCGAACUACUAAAAACAGAAUAUGAUAAACAGAAUAAUGUCAGUUGUUUCCUGAGACUAUCAAUAUACUACAGCAAUGCGAAAAUAAUAAUAAAACAAGAUAUUUCAUGGCAAACUUUGGGAGUAAGGUUAGGACUGUAAUCCGUGAGUUAUCUCAGAGCAAACGGGAAAGGGGUUAAAAACAUUUCGAAUUGGUUGCCAUCAUUUAAACUCAGCAGCAAACUUUCAAGUGGUCUAGCAACACUGGGCCUACAUUCCCACAUGGCAACUGCGAAAGGGCUCCAGUCCAGAGGGGCUGUCCCCUUGGAGGGAGGUGGGGGCUAUGCUCUCCAGGUCCCUGCCAUCUCCCAUUGCCUGUGCCCUUGACCUGGCUCCUGCUAUGUAAGGAGGUCAGAUACAGGUCCCUAAAACACCCCCUGAGCACUGCACCUACCCAAUAGGACUGACUUGGGCAGAGCAUCUCAGUUGAUGAAGCACAUCCCCAUAUACUUUUCUGUUUUAUUUCCACAGGCCACAGAAGAGGAGAUUCCCAUUGUACAAGAAGGAAAUAUAAGUACAGAGAGUCGAAAGUACCAUUUCCAGACUGGGCCUUAGGGUACAGACAUGGAUAAGAUGGCCCUCUGCCCUCAAGGAUCCCAGUUAUUAAUGUGGGUCUUCCCCUCUCUGAAAGUGUGUGCAAAUUUAUGUUUGGUGACUGCAUUCUUCUGGGGAGGUGAUCUCUAGUUCUUGGCAACAAAUAAAUGCCACCAAGUGUGAUGAGUGGUGUCACACUGGGACAGAUGAAUCAUGGAUGAGUCAAGAAAGGAAUCAGGAGGCCAUACUUGAACAGAAAGCUGAAUGAUGAAUGUCUGCCAGGCAGCCCAUGGAGGGGCAGGGGGUGGGGAAAACAUUUAAGGAGAAUCAGAAUGGCACCAGAUACAGAGGCUGGCUGAUGGCAGCCUGGGGUGGCUUUGGAAUCCAGGAUGGAGACAAGAAGCCUAGAGAGAUAGGCAGCGGCUACACCCAAGGGCCUUUAGUGCCAGGCUAAGAAGCAUGGGCUCAGUCCCAAAAGUGACAGAGAAUCAAUGAAGGCUUGCCAGAGUAUCCUCAGCUAGGGCUUAGCUGGCAACAUGUCAGGGCUCUGGAGCAAGGGCCUCAGGUGCCCUGAAGACACAGAAGGAAGAAUCUGUAUUCCAAGGGCAAGAUGAAAACACCAAACACCAGGAGAGAGCUCUUGGUUCAAAACACUGGGUCCACACUCUCCCAGUUUGCCUUUUGCUUUGAGGGCUGGGCUCUCCUCUGCAGGCUCUGCCUCUUUAGUAGCCUUUAAAUGCUUGUGCUCCUCACAGCCUGCUCCUUGGCUGCCCUCUCAGUACCUUCUGGCUGACCCCUUCUGGCCAUGGCAUCAAGUGCCAUCUAUGUGCUGACAACUCCCACUACUCCCAAUCUAUUCCCUUCAGCCUGGCCCCCUCUCUUCUAGGCUUGCGGCCCAUAUAACCACCUGCCUAUUUGACAGUUCUGCUGGAGAGAAAGGGUCACAAUUCUAAAAGGCACCUCAAAAACUUGCCUGGAACCAAACUCGUGAUCAUCCCACAGAAAUCCAGCCCCCUCCACUGUUCACCUCUGUCCGUUUGGCUGGAAUCCGUACUUACUACACCAUGUCUGAAAGUCUUCUCAGACGCAUUCACUUUAAUUCUCUCCAUUUCCGCCACUGCCUCUUCUAGACUACGGCAGCCUCCUAACUCAAUUUCUCCAACUACUCUUGUGCCUCUGAUCCCUUCCAAAGUUGCCAGAAAAAUCUUAAGGUGUAAACAUAAUUACGUCACUCCCUGGCUUUAACCCUCAAUGUCCUCCCAAAGCUCUCAGUUCAAAAAAUUACUAUGGCUUACAAAACCCCAUGAGAAGGUAGCAUUUCUGCCCACCACUAACUUUUCCUGCCCUGAGACCUACUUCCUUCUGGCAGGACCGCUUUCCCCCAAACUAAUCCCUGUAUCUUCAGAUCUCAGCUAUACCCAACUAGGUCAGAUCCUCCAUUGAGCAUCAAGUCCCCUCAGCAAUAUUUAUCUCUUGAGCACCUACAAGGUCCCAGACACUUCUGGAGAUGAAGCAGGGAGAGACUUUACCCUAUUAUCCAAGAGCUUACUGUCUGGCCUGAGUAGGAGAUACAGGGAAUAAAAAUGCAAAUGAGUUUCAGGUUCUGAUAAAUGCCAGAAAAGAAAGAUGUAUGGUAAUGAAGUCAUUCUCACUGCACUCUAUACUUUUCCUUCAUAGUUAUCUGUCACAACCUUUGUGUGUGGCAUUAUUUGAUUAAAGUCAUUGUCUGCCCAUAGCACAGUGCCUGAAGAGUGGACACUCAAGUUGGCUUAUUCGAUUCGCUUCCCCUGGGAUUCACUUUCCCCAUGGUGUCCCUUUGAACUGAAGUGAGAUGAUGUAGCAGUUGGCUGUAUUAAAAGGAAUUUACUGAC